GCCCCUGUAUCCCAAUUGGUAGAGGAGACAGCCUCAAAAUCUGUACAGUGUGGGUUCGAGUCCCACCGGGGGCACCA
rnacentral:tRNA from 4 species